ACACACAGCUAUGGCAGAUGAAGUCACUGGUUGGCCAGCUCCAGGUCAUUGUUAACCAGUUCCAACAGGUUCAAGCUGGCCAUCCAGUGCACGUCCCUAUGGUCCAUGCAGAGGUAACACCAGCUUAGGCCGCUGACACACCAGCCAUGCCAGGCACUCCAGCUCAGGCCGCCAUCACACCAGCCACGCCAGCUCAGGCCCCCUCCAGCACAUCCAGCCAGGCUAACCUCCUUAAAGGUGCUGAAUAAUUGCCCAUCGUGGAGUCUUACUUUUACCCAUGAUGCUUGCAACACUCUCAGAUGGAGCAUCUGACUUCACCAUUGGAUGCUGCUGUUUGAUGUAAAGGACUUGAAGAUGAAUCCUGCCUC